GCUGCGGCGGCUAACACAUGCAAGUCGAGCGGUAGCACAGAGAGCUUGCUCUCGGGUGACGAGCGGCGGACGGGUGAGUAAUGUCUGGGAAACUGCCUGAUGGAGGGGGAUAACUACUGGAAACGGUAGCUAAUACCGCAUAACGUCGCAAGACCAAAGUGGGGGACCUUCGGGCCUCAUGCCAUCAGAUGUGCCCAGAUGGGAUUAGCUAGUAGGUGGGGUAACGGCUCACCUAGGCGACGAUCCCUAGCUGGUCUGAGAGGAUGACCAGCCACACUGGAACUGAGACACGGUCCAGACUCCUACGGGAGGCAGCAGUGGGGAAUAUUGCACAAUGGGCGCAAGCCUGAUGCAGCCAUGCCGCGUGUGUGAAGAAGGCCUUCGGGUUGUAAAGCACUUUCAGCGGGGAGGAAGGCGUUAAGGUUAAUAACCUUGUCGAUUGACGUUACCCGCAGAAGAAGCACCGGCUAACUCCGUGCCAGCAGCCGCGGUAAUACGGAGGGUGCAAGCGUUAAUCGGAAUUACUGGGCGUAAAGCGCACGCAGGCGGUCUGUCAAGUCGGAUGUGAAAUCCCCGGGCUCAACCUGGGAACUGCAUUCGAAACUGGCAGGCUAGAGUCUUGUAGAGGGGGGUAGAAUUCCAGGUGUAGCGGUGAAAUGCGUAGAGAUCUGGAGGAAUACCGGUGGCGAAGGCGGCCCCCUGGACAAAGACUGACGCUCAGGUGCGAAAGCGUGGGGAGCAAACAGGAUUAGAUACCCUGGUAGUCCACGCCGUAAACGAUGUCGAUUUGGAGGUUGUGCCCUUGAGGCGUGGCUUCCGGAGCUAACGCGUUAAAUCGACCGCCUGGGGAGUACGGCCGCAAGGUUAAAACUCAAAUGAAUUGACGGGGGCCCGCACAAGCGGUGGAGCAUGUGGUUUAAUUCGAUGCAACGCGAAGAACCUUACCUGGUCUUGACAUCCACAGAACUUUCCAGAGAUGGAUUGGUGCCUUCGGGAACUGUGAGACAGGUGCUGCAUGGCUGUCGUCAGCUCGUGUUGUGAAAUGUUGGGUUAAGUCCCGCAACGAGCGCAACCCUUAUCCUUUGUUGCCAGCGGUCCGGCCGGGAACUCAAAGGAGACUGCCAGUGAUAAACUGGAGGAAGGUGGGGAUGACGUCAAGUCAUCAUGGCCCUUACGACCAGGGCUACACACGUGCUACAAUGGCAUAUACAAAGAGAAGCGACCUCGCGAGAGCAAGCGGACCUCAUAAAGUAUGUCGUAGUCCGGAUUGGAGUCUGCAACUCGACUCCAUGAAGUCGGAAUCGCUAGUAAUCGUAGAUCAGAAUGCUACGGUGAAUACGUUCCCGGGCCUUGUACACACCGCCCGUCACACCAUGGGAGUGGGUUGCAAAAGAAGUAGGUAGCUUAACCUUCGGGAGGGCGCUUACCAACUUUGGAUUCCAG
rnacentral:rRNA from 1 species